rnacentral:rRNA from 1 species
AGUGAACGCUGGCGGUAGGCCUAACACAUGCAAGUCGGACGGCAGCACAGGAGAGCUUGCUCUCUAGGUGGCGAGUGGCGGACGGGUGAGGAAUACAUCGGAAUCUGCCCAGUCGUGGGGGAUAACGUAGGGAAACUUACGCUAAUACCGCAUACGACCUUCGGGUGAAAGAGGGGGAUCGCAAGACCUCUCGCGAUUGGAUGAGCCGAUGUCGGAUUAGCUAGUUAGCGGGGUAAUGGCCCACCAAGGCGACGAUCCGUAGCUGGUCUGAGAGGAUGAUCAGCCACACUGGAACUGAGACACGGUCCAGACUCCUACGGGAGGCAGCAGUGGGGAAUAUUGGACAAUGGGCGCAAGCCUGAUCCAGCCAUACCGCGUGGGUGAAGAAGGCCUUCGGGUUGUAAAGCCCUUUUGUUGGGAAAGAAAUCUUUCAGGCUAAUACCCUGGGAGGAUGACGGUACCCAAAGAAUAAGCACCGGCUAACUUCGUG